CGCAUUAAGCGCCCCGCCUGGGGAGCUACGGGCCGCAAGGCUAAAACUCAAAGGAAUUGACGGGGGCCCGCACAAGCGGCGGAGCAUGCGGAUUAAUUCGAUGCAACGCGAAGAACCUUACCAAGGCUUGACAUAUACCGGAAACACCCAGAGAUGGGUGCCCCUUUUGGUCGGUAUACAGGUGGUGCAUGGUUGUCGUCAGCUCGUGUCGUGAGAUGUUGGGUUAAGUCCCGCAACGAGCGCAACCCUCGUUCUAUGUUGCCAGCACGUGAUGGUGGGGACUCAUAGGAGACUGCCGGGGUCAACUCGGAGGAAGGUGGGGAUGACGUCAAAUCAUCAUGCCCCUUAUGUCUUGGGCUUCACGCAUGCUACAAUGGCCGGUACAAAGGGCUGCGAUACCGCAAGGUGGAGCGAAUCCCAAAAAACCGGUCUCAGUUCGGAUUGGGGUCUGCAACUCGACCCCAUGAAGUCGGAGUCGCUAGUAAUCGCAGAUCAGCAACGCUGCGGUGAAUACGUUCCCGGGCCUUGUACACACCGCCCGUCAAGUCACGAAAGUCGGUAACACCCGAAGCCGGUGCAACCCGGGGGAGCCGUCGAAGG
rnacentral:rRNA from 1 species